rnacentral:lncRNA from 1 species
UUUUAAAGUUAUUCCUUCUUUAUUUUUUUAAUCACAGCAAUCCUCCCCUCAUCCAUGGUUUCAUUUUCUAUGGUUCCAGUUACUCAUGGUCAACCAUGGUCAGAAAACAGGACAAACUGAGAGUAAAAGAUGCAGGAAUAAAACACAGAAAUCAAAAUAAAGGGUUUACUGCUGAAAAAUCCGCUUGAACAAGCCUGUUAAUGUGAUCUUCCUGAAUGAAGCCAGCUUACCCCUAGGCCUCCACUGUCCCUCAGGAAAGAGAACACGAAAACUGGAACUCUCUGCAGAAAGGAGGAUCCCAAAGAAGGGGCCAAGCUGUACAUUUAUCAAUCAGGAAAGCCACUCCACCCUCCAUGGCAGCCCCUACAAUUUGAAACAAGUAUUCUUCCUAACAUAACACAUUAAUUCAUGAGUUUAUCAGUUCAUUUCAUUUUUACUUUGAGAUUUUUGUGAAUAACCAUAGAAAAAUCUAUUUCACCUGGCAAUAAAUAGGAAAAGGCACAGCAUAAUGUUUAAAUACAGAGAAUAUUGUUACAUGUAAGAUGUUGAUUGAAUGUUCUAAAUACAAUUUGAAAACUGCGUGAGAGGAGGAAAACGUAUAUUCAGAAGGACUUAGGUGAAUCCAGAUGAAUAUUUUCAUGACAGGAUGUUGGCUAUUGAUAUGAAGAAAGUAGAGGAAUAGACUUGCUAAAAGUUAGAGGAGUCUAGUUUAUCUUCCAAGAAGCUUUGCAACCCUGUAAUACUGUAGAAAUCACAAAUUUGGCAAUAAUUUUAAGAUAAUUUAUGUUCAUUUUUUAUGGAAUGCCAUGUUUAUCUUUUUAUAUAUGACAUUUUCUGGUCAGUAGUAAUAUAUAUAUCCUUUAUUAAAAUUGGAAAAUAAAUACAAACAUUUUAUUUAUUUAUUGGUUAAAAAAUUAUUAUGCUCAUUCUUUUUUUUUUUAACCAGUAAGGAUCUGGAUAAAGAAAAACAUUUUAGAAAACCACUUGUAGAGUACCAUGAACCAGUCUCUCUUCUCCAUUUUAAAAAAUUUAUUGACUCACUUUUUUUCCAUAACUUUUUGAGAUAUUAUUUCAACCACUUUGCAUUUAGAGAAAAAGAGUCAGAGAGUGAUUAAGAAAUCUGCCCAAUGCUAUACUGAUAGAAGCUGGGAGAACUGGGAUUUGAGCUUACAUAGGCUAGUUCUAGCAUUUGUGAAGUUCUCGCCUAAUAAAAAUUAUCUGUAAUCAUAACCAGAGCAAGUCAUUUCUAACCUCCUGUCUAUAGACACGCGGAUACAUUUGUAAUGUUUUUGUUUGUUUGUUUUUAGCACGACAGAUCAAUUCCUGCUGGCAUUAUAGUUCUUUAACUAUCAUAGCUUCUCUGAUUUUUCAACACAUCUGUCAUCCGUAUUCUGCAGGCAUAGCCAACUCUGUCAGUGUCUCCUCAGGCAAUCAGAAUCAACAGACAGAAUGUAGGACAGAAAACUGGCUGCAAACAUGUUGGAAGGGCUGGAGGAGCGAAAGAGGGAAGAUCUGUUACCUAGAGAUAGUAACUUCCAGAAGUUACCACUAUACUAGUGCAGGAGAAGCAGAAAGGAAGAUGCUGCUACCCAGAGCCCACAGUCAUUGUGCCCCUGAUGCCGCUGGAACCCCACUGCAGCUGCUUUACAGGAAGCAGGGAAUUAGCGCUCUUGCUGAUGCUACAGGUAUCCAGGAUCCAAAAGUCAUCAGCCGCUGUCCCUGUUGCAGCCUAGGGAAACUGUCCCACUGAGGUUGUUGGGGUACCUGCUACUGCAUCUACUGUCUGAACCAUGUUGCCUGAGCAGAUGUCCAGGGCUCAGGCUUGCCUGCUGCUGUUACUGCUGCCACCAUGUUUAUCAGAGCUACUUCAAGAAGAGAAGAAAUCCUCCUCAUUUCCAGUUUUUUCCAGUGCCUCCCAUUGCUUCCCAGAAUGCCAAAUUCUCUUUGAGAGACAGCUGAAAGGAAGGUUUGGAAAAGACUCUGGUGUAAGCAGAUUCUGCUUCCCUGCAAUAGGGGGAAAGCAUAGGGUGGAACUGGAGCUGAGAGCUAAUCACGAAUGAGCAAAUCAGUCUUCAAGACAUUUACCUUUCCUUGAAACGUUUCCCUUCUUUUACCGUGUUUUCCAUGUCAUUAUUUUUCCACAAUUCUGCAUCAUAUUCUGUUAACUAUUAAUGCCCUGGAUAAGUUUAUUUGCUCUUUCUUAGGGUUAAUUUUUCUCCUUUUCUUCGAAGCUUUAGUUUGCAGGUUCAGCUUGUGUGGGAAUUUUCAUCUCCCUCCUCUUCAAGACUCCUUGGAUAUCAGUUUUUUGGUUGCCUUCACCAACUCUCCCCCCACCAUCUCUAGACCAGGGCAUGGUCUUAGUUGGUGGCUUGGACUCCUGUGGCUUGGAGUCUUUGGGGAUAUUAGAGAUCCAGUCACUGAGCUGGCAAAGGGAACACUGUCCUUGCUUCCAGCUUUAUGAAGAACGCUUUGCUCUGUCACCCCAGGUAAAUAAUCAUGUUAUUCAAGGAUAAUGAAUGCAGCCACCAUGUAAUCAUCACUGACUCCAUGGCCAUGAGAAAAGAGACCUAAGAAAUGAUGCCCAUCCAGAAGAGUGAAGACUUCCUGAAAAUGUUCUUUUAACCUAAGAUGUAGGUUAAGAGGAGUGAAAAAAUGUUCUGUUUCUGACUGAUGAUGGAGCAACAAAGGUAUGUUUCUUAUUAAUAACACUGAGCAGUUAGGAAGCAGAUGUGCCUCUCCAGGGAAACUCACAAGUGUCCACUGACCUAGUAUCUGCGGAGAACCAUAGCAGUUGUGGUCUCUCUCCCCAGCUUCAAGCAAGGGCAACUUUUCCCUGUGUCUGGUUCUUUUGCUGUCACCUGAAGCCACAGAAAAUGAUCUGAACCUGCUCAGUCCCUGGACAUAUCUGGGGAAUACAAAGUCUCAGAGUCGCUCUCUAAGAAUUGCCAGCAUGUUCUAGAGAUUCUUUAGAUGCAUAGCUGCAUGGAGCAAAACAGGGUCAGGGGAUGUGUGCCGAGGCCAAGGUCUUCUCUUAUGUUUCAAAAAUAUUAACAUUUCAGGCCUGUCUUCUUUUAAAGGAUAGCUCAUGUAUAUGAUUUUUUAAAAAAAAAUCUACCAAAUCAAAUAAAGAAGUCCUGGGAGUUCACCCGGUGUUUUCUACAGAACCAAGGUAUUCAUAUUGAGAUCCUUCAAUAUAAUCAGCUAUGUGACCUUGGUUAAGUUAAUUAAUGCCUCUGAAACUGAGGUUCCUCAUCUGUGAAAUGGAGAUAUUCAACAAAGCACCCUGUGGGGAUUAGAUGAGAUUGCACAUCUGACUGCCUAGAGUAUAGUAAGGGGUCACUGUUUCCUCUUCACUCCUCAGGAAAAUUUGAUUGAACAAGGAUAGAAACUUUGAUUCUAGGGACAGAAGGUCUUCAGAAGUCUUUGAGGCCAGAGGGCCUGUCAUAGAACUGCAGUGUAGGUUCAUUAAAACGCUGUCAUCCUAAUGUUUAUCCACAGUAUCUAAUAGAUUUAAAAGGAAGACAAUAUGGCA